rnacentral:rRNA from 1 species
AACGAACGCUGGCGGCGUGCUUAACACAUGCAAGUCGAACGCGAAAGGGACUUCGGUCCUGAGUAAAGUGGCGCACGGGUGAGUAACGCGUAGAUAACCUGUCUUCACGUCUGGAAUAAUACGCCGAAAGGGGUACUAAUACCGGAUAUUCUUGCUUUUCAUAAGUUUUGCAAGGAAAGGUGGCCUCUGCAUUUGCUACUGCGUGAAGAGGGGUCUGCGUACCAUUAGCUAGUAGGUGGGGUAAUGGCCUACCUAGGCAACGAUGGUUAGCGGGUAUGAGAGGAUGAUCCGCCACACUGGCACUGGGACACGGGCCAGAUUCCUACGGGAGGCAGCAGUGGGGAAUAUUGCGCAAUGGGGGAAACCCUGACGCAGCGACGCCGCGUGAGUGAGGAAGGCCUUCGGGUCGUAAAGCUCUGUCAAAGGGAAAGAAGUGCAUGAUGGCUAAUACCUGUCAUGUUUGACGGUACCCUUAAAGGAAGCACCGGCUAACUCCGUGCCAGCCGCCGCCGUAAAAC